GCCAGGUGUGGUGGCGUGCACCUGUAGUCCCAGCUACUUGGGAGGCUGAGGCAGAAGAAUCGCUUGAACCCAGGAGGCAGAGGUUGCAGUGAGCCAAGAUUGCGCCACUGCACUCCAGCCUGAGCUACAAAGCGAGACUCCGUCUCAA
ensembl:misc_RNA Metazoa_SRP Metazoan signal recognition particle RNA